UGCUAAUUGAGUUAAUGGUGAAAAACAGAAAAUAAUGAUAAAGUACCGCAACAUAUUAUAAUGUAAUUUUUUUUUCCUGAAUUGAAGGAUUUUUCAAUGAUUUGACGAUGUAACUUCUAAAAGAUUCUUCCUUUAGUUGCUUGGUGAAUAUCACCUCUCCUGCCUGGCCUCUCUGCUCCCUCCCAUCUCCAGCGGCAUGG